rnacentral:rRNA from 1 species
AUUCCAGCUCCAAUAGCGUAUAUUAAAGUUGUUGCAGUUAAAAAGCUCGUAGUUGGAUUUCUGGCGGGGACCCAAGUACCCCUGGUGGGUGUGCUCGGGCCCGGCCAUCCUUCUGUAAACUUUCGCGCGUCCUUCACCGGUCGGCAAAGGGAUCAGAUAAUUUACCUUGGGAAAAUUAGAGUGUUUCAGGCAGGCUUAGCCGGAAUACAUUAGCAUGGAAUAAUGGAAUAGGACUGAGGUCUCGUUGUUGGUUACGCGGACUACAGUAAUGAUUAAUAGGGACAGUUGGGGGCAUUAGUAUUUAAUAGCUAGAGGUGGAAUUCUCUAAUUUGUUAAAGACUAACUUAUGCGAAAGCAUUUGCCAAGGAUGUUUUCAUUG